UACGUAGGGGGCUAGCGUUGUCCGGAUUUAUUGGGCGUAAAGAGCGUGUAGGCGGCCAGGUAGGUCUGGUGUGAAAACUCGAGGCUUAACCUCGAGAUGUCAUCGGAAACCAUCUGGCUAGAGUCCGGAAGAGGAGAGUGGAAUUCCUGGUGUAGCGGUGAAAUGCGUAGAUAUCAGGAGGAACACCGGUGGUGUAGACGGCUCACUGGACCGUAACUGACGCUGAGACACGAAAGCGUGGGUAGCAAACAGG
rnacentral:rRNA from 1 species